rfam:Gorilla gorilla gorilla genomic chromosome, chr19, whole genome shotgun sequence
GCCAGGCUCUGUGGCACAUGCCUGUAGUCCCAGCUACUUGGAGGCUGAGGCAGGAGGAUGGUUUGAGCCCAGGAAGUUCUGGGCUGUAGUGUGUUAUGCUGAUUAGGUGUCCAUGCUAAGUUUGGCUUCAAUAUGGUAACCUCCCAUGCGUGGGAGACUACCAGGUUGCCUAGCAGGGGGUGAACUGACCUAAGCUGAAAAUGGAGCACGUCAAAACUCCCGUGUUGAUCAGGAGUGGGAUCAUGCCUAUGAAUAGCCACUGCACACGAGCCUGAGUGACACAGUGAGACCCUGUCUCUG